CAGCCGCCGCGGGAAUACGUAGGUGGCAAGCGUUGUCCGGAAUUAUUGGGCGUAAAGGGAGCGUAGGCGGAUCGUUUGGUCAGGGGUGAAAUCCCGGGGCUCAACCUCGGAACUGCCUUUGAUACUGUUUGUCUUGAGUUCGAGAGAGGUAAGUGGAACUGCGAGUGUAGAGGUGAAAUUCGUAGAUAUUCGCAAGAACACCAGUGGCGAAGGCGGCUUACUGGCUCGAUACUGACGCUGAGGCGCGAAAGCGUGGGGAGCAAACAGGAUUAGAUACCCGAGUAGUCCCUGUCUCUUAUAC
rnacentral:rRNA from 1 species